rnacentral:rRNA from 1 species
GACGAACGCUGGCGGCGUGCUUAACACAUGCAAGUCGAACGGAAAGGCCCUGCUUUUGUGGGGUGCUCGAGUGGCGAACGGGUGAGUAACACGUGAGUAACCUGCCCUUGACUUUGGGAUAACUUCAGGAAACUGGGGCUAAUACCGGAUAGGAGCUCCUGCUGCAUGGUGGGGGUUGGAAAGUUUCGGCGGUUGGGGAUGGACUCGCGGCUUAUCAGCUUGUUGGUGGGGUAGUGGCUUACCAAGGCUGUGACGGGUAGCCGGCCUGAGAGGGUGACCGGCCACAAUGGGACUGAGAUACGGCCCAGACUCCUAUGUGAGGCAGCAGUGGGGAAUAUUGCACAAUGGGCGGGAGCCUGAUGCAGCAACGCCGCGUGCGGGAUGACGGCCUUCGGGUUGUAAACCGCUUUCGCCUGUGACGAAGCGUGAGUGACGGUAAUGGGUAAAGAAGCACCGGCUAACUACGUG